UACAGAGGGGGCUAGCGUUAUUCGGAAUUAUUGGGCGUAAAGGGCGCGUAGGCGGCCUUGCGUGUCUUCCGUGAAAUCCCUCGGCUUAACUGAGGACGUGCGGAAGAAACUGCAAGGCUCGAGUCCGGGAGAGGGGGGUGGAACUCCUGGUGUAGCGGUGGAAUGCGCAGAUAUCAGGAAGAACACCAACGGCGAAGGCAGCUCGCUAGGACGGUACUGACGCUGAGACGCGAAAGCGUGGGGAGCGAACAGG
rnacentral:rRNA from 1 species